GCACUGUCUACAUCAAAGCCCAAACUGCCGUUGGUCAAAGUUCAGGGGAGGACUGAGUGAGCUCAUUGAAGUCUGAACUGUCCAAGCUUAGCUACUCUACCCAGAAAUUCGUGUGUCCUGAGAAGCCGCGAGGGAGAAGGUGCCGCAGGCCCAGAGGACCAUGUGACAGGAGACGGAAUCCCACCAGGGACCCCCUGAGAGGAGCCAGUCAGCCAGAGGGCACCGCUGAGGCCCCCACCGCUUCGCACAGAGCAUGUUACUAGCGCCCACUUCCGCACUGGCCACAUCUGCUGCCAGUCACUCGUCAGGCUGAACAUUGCAGGUGGAAACCAUGCUUCCAGAUUGAAUGUGACUGUUCUCCACAAACAAAUGCUGAGUCUAUGCCGUUCAGUCACUGCAAUCUUUAAAUACCUAGAAGCUGAGAAAAUGAGCCCUGGAAAAUCCCGGCUGCACAGAUGAAGGAAUGACGUGCAUCAAAGAAACCCAGAGAAGAUGAGGAAGCUGGUAACCUGAAUCUGAAAAGUGGGACCAUUGCUGGGCUCCCAGCGAGCCAGCCAUCUCUGUCGACAGGGGGGCUGAAGGCACAGCCCCCACACUUCAGUUGUCUGCCUGCAUAUCAUGACGGUAAUCGCUGAGCUUCAUAGGGCGGGUGUGACGCCAACUGGUCUCCUUGAGCCACGUCGUCACUGGGCUGUCUAACAGGCACCCCAUCUCUCCCUUUUCACAUCUAAAGCAGAACUUUCUGUUCCUUCCUCACCCCUUACCCUCAUAUUUGUCCUUCCCUCUGUCCCACAAAAAAUGGCCAAAAAGCUAAUAGUAUAUGUAUUUGAAAUAUGACUUAUCAUUUCCAGUGCAGCUAGAACCCAGCGCAUUAGCACGUCUCCUGGAUUAUAGCAGCAGCGUCAUGAAGGUCCUUCCUUAACACCCUACUUUGCGCCUAUGCUUAUGUCCCUCCAGCAGCUUCCCAGCAAGUAGAAUUAAAUGCCCAGUGUCCGCCAUGUUUGCGGAACCCUGUCACAAUCUGGACCCUGCCUAUCUCUCUGACUCUUGUCUCCAACCACUCUGACCCUCUGGCCUCGGCGACUGUGCCUCGCCUGAUCGCGAGGCCAGGAAGCCUCUUCCCCAGAUCUUCACUCAGCUGCACGCUUCUCAUCAUUCCACUUGCGGUUCAAAUGUCUCCGCCUUAGGAAGGCCUCCUUGUCUACCCUAGCUACCCUCUACCCAUCACUCUGCCUCAUCAUUGUGUCUUCUUCUUAGCACUCAUUACUAUCAGAAAUUGCAUCUAUAUAUGUAACAUAUGUAUGUAUGCAUAUUACAUGCAUAUAUGCAUAUCAUUUAUACAUGUUAUUUACAUAUAUAGUUGGUCCCAUGAACUAGACUAGUAGACUAUACGCUCCAUGAGGGCAGGAACAAGGUGGUCUCUAGUGAUAGAAAUGAUAUUAGUUUAGUCACAGAAGGUGAACUUCACCAAAGAGUGGCAUUAGCCUCUAUGACCACCUAGAGAAUAUGUGGCAGGUACUCCAACUAAGUCUGUUUGGGAGUCAAGACACAUAGAAUCCUGGGGGAGAGGUGAAGGCAUGCAAAGAAACGGGGCAAAAUAGCUUAAAGCAAGCGCACGGCAUCUCUGGGGGCCUUGUUCACUCAAAGGAAGGGGCAAGAUCGAGACCGGACAACGGCAACUGUGCAGAAGGCGGCACAGCCUGGAGCCGGAGAGAGCCUGUUGCGGAGGCAGGAAGCCCAAAGCCCACAUAGGAGAAGACCUGACGUCAGUUCAGUUCAGGGCUCGCGUGAAUGGGCCCAUCAUAACAUUCCUGCAGAUUCACAUCUAUCUGGGCGGCUGUCUCUAGCAUCUGUUUCUCCUAAUAUGUACCCGGACUAUGCAGACAGCUUCUCUAGUGGCCUCUUUUCAUCCCUCUAGGCCUCUACCUUGCCUAAAAAAAAUUCCUACCACAUAGUUUUUUCCCCAAUAUGUAAUUUUAAUGUAAUGGGUUAAAAAUUGUAUAUUAA